rnacentral:rRNA from 1 species
UUGGGAGUUCAUUGGCUUCGGAGUCAUAGGAACUCCGAAGCUAAGCGAGUUGGGAGAGCAAUCUUAGGAUGGGUGACCCACUGGGAAGUUGCUCUUGAGCUCCCAGA